rnacentral:rRNA from 1 species
AUGAAAGGGCGAACUAUCUCAGAAAAUUUCGUCUACGCCACUAAGUUGAUCCAAUGCUGCCACAAGAGGAACGCCCCUGCGGUGGUGCUGAAGCUUGAUUUUUUCAAAGCCUUCGACUCGAUCAAUUGGGAGAGCCUCCGUUCCAUCAUGGAAACGCAUGGGUUCCCGACGGCCUGGUGUGAUUGGAUUGAUGAGAUCCUUCAUUCAUCCCACUCUACGGUCUUGCUGAAUGGCAUGCCUGGGAAUUGGUUCAAAUUGAAGUGCGGUCUCCGUCGGGGAGACCCGAUCUCGCCUUACCUCUUUCUGAUCGUUGCUGAUGUCCUACAGCAGUUGAUCCGCCAAGAUACAGUUUUGAAAUACUCCCUGGUGCCCGAUUCUCCGGAUGUGCUGCUUCAGUACGCUGAUGAUACCCUGAUCAUCAUGCGGGCAUGUGAGGAAGGAGUUGCCAGACUUUGUCAGAUCCUGGAUAUGUUUGCUGAAGCUACUGGGUUGAAGAUAAAUUUUACCAAGAGCACGCUCGUCCCUGUCCAUGUCGAUCCGAAGACCCAGGAGGUAGUCGUGCGAGCUUUGGGCUAUGUUGUGGGGGCUUUUCCGUAA